rnacentral:rRNA from 1 species
GAUGAACGCUGGCGGCGUGCUUAACACAUGCAAGUCGAACGAACCUUCGGGUUAGUGGCGGACGGGUGAGUAACGCGUGAGAAUCUGCCCUCAGGAGGGGGAUAACGGCUGGAAACGGCCGCUAAUACCCCAUAUGCCGAGAGGUGAAACGAAUUUCGCCUGAGGAUGAGCUCGCGUCUGAUUAGCUAGUUGGUGGGUAAAAGCCUACCAAGGCGUCGAUCAGUAGCUGGUCUGAGAGGAUGAUCAGCCACACUGGGACUGAGACACGGCCCAGACUCCUACGGGAGGCAGCAGUGGGGAAUUUUCCGCAAUGGGCGAAAGCCUGACGGAGCAACGCCGCGUGAGGGAUGAAGGCCUCUGGGCUGUAAACCUCUUUUCUCAAGGAAGAAGAUCUGACGGUACUUGAGGAAUAAGCCACGGCUAAUUCCGUG